UAACGAGUAGUUUAAGGAAAACAAUAGAUUGUGGUUCUAUAGAUGGGAAAGAUCUUUUCGUUAG
rnacentral:tRNA from 1 species